GGCUGGUAAUACCCUCUUCUCUUGCCUGCUCUCUCCCUACUGAUGCCUGAAAGACCUCUCUCUUGAACUAGCUUCUGCCAACUGUCACCAUGAGACAGAAUGCCCCGGGGAGCCUUUAGCUGUUAACAGCUUAGAAUGCUGCUGUUCCCAGGAGUCUUUGCCCUGUAGGGCAGAGAUGGGAUAGGAAUAAGGCAUUGAAAGAGGCAAGUGUUGAAACUUAGCCAGGUGUGGUGUCAUGUACCUUUAACCUCAGCACCGUGGAGGCCUAGGCAGGCAGAUCUCUGUGAGUUUGAGGCCAACCUGGCCUACAAAGUGAGUUCCAGGACAGCCAGAGCUACACAGAGAAAACAGAAAAUAACAGAGUAGACAAUUCUGCUUCUGAAGGACAUGUUCUCCUGUUAGGGGAUUGAGGCAGGACAAGGUGAACAAACCCUUGGUUUUUGUCACCCGUUUUUGAUUGAAGAGAUCAGAAUUAAGACUAUCCUCCAAGAAAUAUAAAGUUGAUUUUUUUUUCCAUUUCACGUCCCCAUGUUCGGGGUCAUCCGAGGUGCAAGGGGGAACAGAAGUAUAGUAAGGUAAGGGGCAACAACAGCCUUUCAGCAUGAACUCCUCUCUUCCAAACAUGGACUUCAGAUCGUGACCCAACAGGCCAGCAUCUGUAUUUCCUUUUCAGAUGAAUACAGAACUUUUGAAAAUCAGUUCAUAAGUCAAGAAAGGGAGGGUGCAUCACAGAGACCUCUAAGGUUAAAGUGCCAAGUGGAAAAGAUGAACAGUUAAAGAAAUAGGACAAACAUUAUGGGGACGACAUAAGGAUAGAGACCGGGAGUGGAGGCAGAAGCAAUGACUUCUACCCGUUCUGGUCUGCUCUUUGCGUCGAUGUCAAGGAGCUGGGUUUUUGCAAACAUUUUUAUCUUCGGAGUCAGUUGCAAGGCCGGAGACUGUUGGUUCCUAUCCUAGAAAACUCAGGAAGCAACUGCUACCUGGUCUUGCAAAGUUUCUGUGAGGGUUUUGGCCAUUCUUAUAAGCACCUAUAGUAUUUCGCUUCCAUUCCCCCUGGCAAUUAUGUCCCUUCAAGCAUAAUUGCCCAAACCCACCCUUCCUCGAAGUUGCUUCUUGUCAGGUAUUUGGUCACAGUAACAACAGUGAUUAAGAUGGCCCUCCAUAGGAAUGUCAUAAGAGUCAGGUUAGAUUCGUAGUACCCACAGGACAGCUCACAACCAGAACUUCAGUUCCAGGGGAUACAAUCGAUAUCUUCUUAUGGAUUCUGUGGUUAGUAAGAACACACAUGGUGCAUGCAGGCAAAACACUCUUACACAUGAAAUAAAUCUAGCUGUGAAAAACUAGCUAGAGGGAUGGCUCAGUCAUUGAGAUCACUUCCUGUCCCAACUGGACAGUGGUUUGGUUCCCAGCAUGGGCAUGGUAACUUCUGAGCAUCCUUAUCUCCAGGUGCAGGAGAUCUGGCAACUUCUGAUCUCCCCGGACACCAGGCAUGCAUGUGGCACACACACAUACAUGUAGGUAAAACUCUAAUACACAUAAAUAAGUCUAAAUUUUAAAAAGUUAAAAUGCUUGUAACUGAAAGACCAGUGGUUCAGUGCAUUUGCUACUCUGUAGAGGACCUGACUUCAGUUCCCAUCAUCCUUGGGGACUCAUCACAACCACUUGAAUCCUUGGCUCCUGAAUCUCCAGUGCCCUCUUCUGGCCUCUGAAGGCACAAGCACUUACAUGCUACACACACACACACACACACAAAAGAUGUUUUAAAUAAAAUAGAAGCAAUACUCACCAGUGUCAUAUGUAUGCCUCACACACACAGAAAUAAAGAUUACGUCUUUUUAUAAUUAAAGUACAAGGGGCCUGAGGGAUGGCUCAGUAGUUAAGAAUACUUCCUACGAUGUUCAGGGGACACACAUUUGGUUCCCAGCCUGCAACUUUCACUCCAGGGCAUCCAACACCCUCUUCUGAGCUCCUUGGCAGCUGCACGAAUGUGCACAUUACCCUCAUGAUUACAUGGAAAAGUAAUACUUUUGCAAGAUGUUAAGAUUAAAAUAAAACCCUACAAGGUUAGGGGUGUGUUUAAAAACAGGUCAUUUAUCGUACCUUAAGUGGCAGCUGCUGACUGUUGGCACAGAUCAUUCCUCAGAGUGUCAUAGACAAAUGAGGACAGAGUUGUGAAAGAGUGACUGAUGCCUAGGAAAAUGAUGGAGUGAGCCACCGGGGGAUAAUGGAAAGGGAAAUGCUAAUACUACAGACCUCAAAGCAAGCGAGGCACUGUUUAGUCACCUUUGCCUCUCCACACUACCAUAGCACUUCUGUUAUGGCCUACUUAUGGCCUGUCUACUCAUUGGCCUCUACUGGGCACCUAGAACAUACAGGCACUGCAUGUUGGCUCAGAGACACACAUAGCAGAGGCUCUUUCCUGAAGACUUGAGAGCUUAGAAGUCAUAUAGCCCUAUCACCAGUACCAUAGUUAGCAGACCCCAGUGCACAUAACAGCCCAUGUUGGGAGUUAAGGAGCACUAAGGUCCUCCUAUACCUUGAGUAUGGUUUGCCUCUUGAGAACUCAUGUCAGAAUUUGGUUGCUGUUGUGAUGGUGUUGAGAGGUGAAUCUGUUAAGAGCCGACUUAAUGAAGCUCCAAGGGACUCUCAUGAGGGAUGUUACCUCAAGAGAGGGUAAUGCACUGAGGCAGCCUCCCAUUUUAUCUUACAAUGUGUACUCAAUUUCUGCCAAGUGUUGAAACACCAAGUUUUCAUCUAUGAAGCUUUUAGAUUUCUACCCUGAACCAAUUAAUCACCAUUCUUCACAAAUCACCCAGUCAAGUGAUGCCUCGGUGCUUACAACCACUGAUUGCCUUCCAAAGGACCUGGGUUCAAUUCCUAAUACCUACAUGGUGGUUGACAACCAUUGGUAACUCCAGUCCUGGGGAAUCUGAUGCCUUCUUCUGGCCUCUAAGGACAUUGCAUGCAUUUGGUGCACAGGCAUGCAAACAACACACACACACACACACACACACACACACACACACACACACACACACACACACAUUUUUUUAAAUAUCAUUACCCAGUCUCAAGUGUUUUGUUAUAGAAACCACUCUUCUACUUGAAGGAGGAAACUAAAGAGCUAUUUAGACCAAUUUGCAUUGAUUUAUGAGGUCUGCUGAGGAGGCAGGAACAAAAGGAAGAGACCACUUCAAAAACAGAGUCACUUUGUGCCCCCGUUUCCUAAAACAUUACAUAGAAAGCUAAGCUCUACUGACUUAGGAUCAUAGCAGGUAGAAGCAUGUCAGGAAAAUUUUUCAGAUGUCCAAUGUUUCUCUCCCUCAAACACAUACUACUGUUGAUAAUGAGCAAGAAGUUGGAUUCAGUGUCAUGCCUUAUCUUGCCACCUAUGUAAGAGGGAUUUCAUAGACGUAUCCAAGCCCCCUGUCAGCUGACUUGGGGUUUAAAAAUGGGUCUUUUCCUGGGUGGUUCCGACCUAAUCACAAAUAUACCUUAACAGGAAGCAGGUCUUCUCAGAAGUCCAUGGUGACUAGCAUCUCCAGGGAAGCCCCCCCCCCCCCCCCGAGCUGGGGACCAAACCCAGGGCCUUGCGCUUGCUAGGCAAGCACUCUACCACUGAGCCAAAUCCCCAACCCCUCCAGGGAAGGUCUUAAGGAAGCAACUUAUCACAAGUGCAGAAGGCCAUGUCCCAGAAAUGGAAGAUAGCAUGUCACAAUUGGAAUUAAACUCAGCUAAGAAGCAGAGAACUUGGAAGACAACCUUAUACCUCAGGAAACUGAAGCUGUGACCAAAAUCUUGAUUUCUCUUUCAUUUCGGUAGAGGACACAGCAUACCUGUGCCUACACACUUAAUCUAUGUCAAAUAAAAGCUCUGAGUCUCUUUCAGAUUACAUUUGAGGUCACUAAUUACAUAGCAAUGGAAAAGCAAUGUGUGAGGUGAAGGGGAAAGAUAUGCAGAGCAGAAGCACAAUUGCUAGUGCCCUAAGGGAAACUAGGCAGCAAGGAAACCUCGGGCUUCAAGACUCUUGAUAAAAAUCACAAAAUAAAUAGAGCAGUCAAAUAUUGAGUGCUUGAUAUGUGCCAGAUGAUUGAAGCCUACCAAGUUCUUUAGUGGAACCCAACCUCCCCUUCAAGUGAGUCACCCGGCCCCCUGAAAAGGAUUCAACCCAAAGUCCUCCCUAGAGGAUUCCAGAGUAGUGCUCAGAAGAGACACCUUGGCUGUAGCUCUGACUUCUACCCAAUAACCAAAUGCUGGCGUAAAGGGCAGGGGUGAGAUUCACACCGAGAGGCUGAGCAAAGGGCAGCAAAUGCUUCACUUCUUUCCCAGGAAACUCAAGACUUUCUAGAACAGUUCUUGCAGAAUAUUAAAAAAUGUACCCAUGGCUUGAUUUUUCUCUUCUUUCCUCCCUCCCAUUCUCCCUUUCUUCUCUUCCCUCUCCCUCCCCUUUCUCCCUCUCCCUUCCUCCCUCCCUCCCUUUUCCUUUCCGUUUAGAAGACUCAUGGGAGCUUUAAUAGCUGAUGAAUCAUUUUAACAUUUGAAUCUUUUAAAGAGGGUUUGGAAGAGCUGGGACACAAGCUACAGGCCUACAGAAGGACAAAGAUGAAGAGUCAAAAAAAAGUGUUAAUACCUAGGGGAAUGAGAAUCAGUCAAACCCAAGGUGGCCAGGCUGUGUAGCCUUAACCCUUGAAGUGAGGGUAAUCAUUCGGAGAGGCAAGGAUGAGAACAUGAGGUCUGGAAGAGGGCACAAGUCUGGGGAAACCGGGAGAGUCUAGGCAUGUUUGUGUGGCAAUAAGGCAUUUGAGAAAGAAAGGAGGGAAAGGGGAAUGUUCAGGAAAAGACACUAAUGGGGAAGCUUUAGGUGCCAACUCCAAGCCUUCCCUGUAGCAAGGGAAAGCUGCUAAGGGCCUUUGGAAUGAGGAAGAGCUAAAGUUUCACAAUGAUUGGCCGGAUGUAGAUUGGGUCCAUGGCUGAGGGCCUGAUGGAAGUUUAUGACAAAGCGAUACAGAUGUGCCGGGCCCUGAUAGUGGAGAUGGAGAGAUUAUAGUGAUGUCGCUCUCGGGAGCCCAACGACACGGGGCCACCAAAGUCUUCUCUCUGCAGAGCUAUUGCGGGCUUGCCCGGAUGUUUUUGCACAGUUCGUGACUAACCGAGAAUAUCUGAAAUUAAAAUUCCGAGUCACACCCAGAACAGACCAUUGCCCCUGUGAAGAGAUAGCCCAGGUGUACUGAGAGACCGUCUUAAAGAUGCUCCUGGGCCACAAAUUGGCAACAGAAUUGGCCAUAUAUCUACUGGUUCCCAGAGAAGAAGCCAGUUCCAGGGUGGCCUCGGUUUCCUCCUCAUGGGAUUAAUGUCUCAGAGAGGAGCCCCCCUGAGACAUGAUUAGCUUCAAAGCUAGUCAUGCUUGCACUCCUAGUUUUUACAUUGUUUUGUUUUCUUCGCUACAGACCCUGAGAACCUGAACAACAAUCUUAUACCCUGAACCUAGAGACCAGGGAGACAGCAGUAGAGGUGUCAAGGGUAAGGGUAGACACUGCUCCCUCGGGGUAGCAAGAUCUCUGCUACGAAGCAAAGGAUAUAACUAAUGUCUUUGUAAGGGUCAAGACUUAAGCAAGAUUCCCUUCUAUCCGUGCUUUAAAUCAGAAGCCUGGUGGGAGAUGGGAGGAAAGAAACCAGCAGCGGCUCUGGGUACUUUGGGCUAAAAUGAGCAGUUUCAAUCAAAGCCCUAGGGAGACAGAUAGGUAGGCCUCUGUCAGGUCAAAGCUAGCCUGGUCUAUGCAGCUAGUUCAAGGCCAUUAGGAACUACUUAGUGAGAGCCCAUUCCCAAAUAAAAUGCAUUUCUCAUACCCCCAGAGGAAGAAGAAGAGAUUCUGCCCCUCACUGUCCAACUUGAGGAGAGAAAUCCUCUGUGUACACAUGUACAUGGCUCCCAGCUCUGCUCUGAGCCACAAUCAGCAGGGAUGAUGAGUGGGAGCAAGGAGAGAGGACCCUGCUGCUCUGAAACUACCUCUAACCCCCACAGGUCGUUCAACCCAGGUCAAAACUUAGAGCUGGACACAGCGAUUGCAUACCUGUAAUCCCAGCACCUGGUGGAAGCAUGACAUUCCCAGAGCGCAGGACCAACCCCAGUCAGCUACAUAGUGAAUUGCAGACCACCCUGGGAUACACAAUACCUCAACACUAUCCCAGAGUGACUGUGCUUUCCUAUGCAGGAUCUGGAACCUUCUACCUUCUGGCGUAGUUAGCUAGAGAGAAAAGUCAAAGUUUGAUAUUUAGAUAUCACUUGGCCUUGUACUGGCAAUGUGACCUUGGAAUAAUUAACUUCUCAAACUUGUUUUGUCAUCCUUUAAAAGAGAAUAGCAGUGCUUAUUGUGAUGAGACCAUUGCGAAGAUGUUACUUCACAGACAUCAUCUCUGAAGUAUCUAAUACAGUAUCAUUCCAAUUCUUAUAUAGGAUGGGCAAGAGUAAACAGGUAAUGCUGGGUAGUUUGGGAUCUAGCCCUCCAACCACAGCUAUGUCAUUGAUAAAAUGGAGCUGGAAACAUGCUUUUUGCAAGAGGAUUGAGACCUAAAGAUAAAGAGUUCAUCACAGCCCUGGGCCAUGGUAGACCCUAAAGAAAUGCAUUCCUCAGAGGUCUCCAGCAGGGACCAGUAUCUCUAGCAAACAGUCCCCAGGAAGGUUGUAAAGGUUAUAUCAGAAUCAGUGCAGAAGUAUGAAUGCUGGACAAAAAAGAGACACCACCGAGUCCUAAGUCACCAAAAGGUCAAGCUCCAUACUUAGAGGUAUGGAGCAAGAUCCCUGCCUGGGCAGGACAUGGGACCUGGCAGGAACUUGCCCCUUGGAACUACUACCACAUAUUACCAGUCAUAUGGUGUGUCUUCCAUGGCCUUAUGAUCAUAGCCACCCCGAUGUGUCUGAAGGCCGGCAUCAUCAAUGCAAGCUGCCAGGUAAGGCUCUAGAGAGGCAAGAAAUCAUGAAGCAGGACCCUUAUUUUUCUCACAGUGGAAGCCAGUAUCUCUGGGGUACCAUCACAAGCCAUCUAGUACCUAUAGACUCCUUGAGCUGCCCUAUACAGGGACAACGGAAGAACUCCAUGGGACAUCAAUGAGAUUUCAUCUCUCCAAUCCUACCUUGCAACAAGACUUUCAGGAUCCUCCCUGGAGAAGCAACCUGCUCUCCCAAUACCACAUCCCAUUGCACACCGCGCUGCUUUAGCUCUGGCCAUUAAAGUCUUGUUCCCUUUCAUAAA